UGUAGUCCUCUCAGGGCUGCAGUAAACACAGCCACUCGUUCCAUUCGGACCGAAUGCAAUGAUUGGCUGACUGACUGUCACUCUCCCUCGUUGCCAUGGCUAUCAGCCCUGCUGCUACAGGAGCUGCACCCAUGCGCCAAUAUCUGCAUGGCUUUUUAACGAUAGUGACUGACAACUGAGGAACACCAAGGGGCUGAAUAUUUACACCGUGGUGGCUUUAUUUCUGCUGGACAGGUCACCUGCAGUCUUCCUGUGCUUCUCACCAGUACACUGAUCGGAACAUGCUGGCUGGCCAGGAUUACAAAACCACCGUGUCCACAGACCAGCCAGGAGAAAAGAUGAUGACACAAUGCAGUACAGCAAGGUGUACAACAAAAAGUCCAGGAAGUGGAGCUUGUACUCAUUGAAGGUGGAGAAGGACUACAGUUAAAUUGCAGACCUUCACAGUGCCAUCCUCGUCCUCUGACGGUUGUGUACUACUGAGGAGAUGUCUAGAAGCAGAACCGGGAGACCUGAUGAUCCCUGUCAACAUGGGGUUCAUUCAGGUGUCCCUGCCCCAAAUGUAUUCCUAGAUACAGCAAAACUUACAACAAAAAGUAAUAUGGUUGGUUUUGAAAUGUGGUAAUCAUGUCAGACUGUGAUAUAU